GGAGAGUUGCCUGAGCGGCCGAAAGGACAUGUUUGCUAAACAUGCGUAUGGGAAUCUGUACCAAGGGUUCGAAUCCCUUACUCUCCG
rnacentral:tRNA from 1 species